rnacentral:rRNA from 1 species
UCAGAUUGAACGCUGGCGGCAGGCUUAACACAUGCAAGUCGAGCGGAAACGAGAAAUAGCUUGCUAUUUCGGCGUCGAGCGGCGGACGGGUGAGUAAUGCUUGGGAAUAUGCCUUUGAGUGGGGGACAACAGUUGGAAACGACUGCUAAUACCGCAUAACGUCUACGGACCAAAGGGGGGGAUGCUCCGGCACCUCUCGCUCAUAGAUUAGCCCAAGUGAGAUUAGCUAGUUGGUAAGGUAAUGGCUUACCAAGGCGACGAUCUCUAGCUGGUUUGAGAGGAUGAUCAGCCACACUGGGACUGAGACACGGCCCAGACUCCUACGGGAGGCAGCAGUGGGGAAUAUUGCACAAUGGGGGAAACCCUGAUGCAGCCAUGCCGCGUGUGUGAAGAAGGCCUUCGGGUUGUAAAGCACUUURCAGUUGUGAGGAGAGGGAUGUAGUUAAUAACUGCAUUCUGUGACGUUGGCAACAGAAGAAGGACCGGCUAACUCC